GGUGACAGUGAUGAGUUGCACAAUAAGGCAGGUUGCUGAUUGCAGUGGCACAGCGAUCCUGUCCUGAAGAGCCGUGGUGACACCAACAUGUGCACAGGGGCCAUCUGAGUGGCC
ensembl:snoRNA